CAGUAUGUUACACCAUAUAUGACAAUUAACUCAGAAUAGAUCAAACACCUAAACUUAAGAGCUAUGACCAUAAAACUCUUAGAAGAAACAGGGGGAAAGCUUCAUGGCAUUGGGCUUGACAGUAGUUUCUCAGGUAAGACACCAAAGGGACAGGCAACAAAAGAAAAAGUACAUAAAUUGGACUUCAUCACAACUGAAAACUUCUGUGCAUCAAAGCACACUAUCAACAAGGUGAAAAAGCCAUCU